rnacentral:lncRNA from 10 species
CUCCGCGCCACGCGGACCCACCGAGCCCGCGCUCAGACGCCCCAGCUCCGCCGAGAGGCCGCUCGCGCCGUGUCCUUCCUCUUCCCCAAGUUCAGGCAGAGCCCCCGGAGCCAUGGCCAGCCCUUCCAGCAGCUCCGAAGACACUGGCAAGCCCCGAGGCAGGGAUGGCCGGCCCAGAAGGGAGGAGGAGGAGGACGUCCCUCCCGAAGAGAAGAGGCUGGGGCUGUAGCUGGAGGGGGGAAGCGCACAGCCCGAGGACUGCGAGGACAGGGAGGACCCGCCGCUGCCGGGCACGAAGGAGACCGGCACCCAGACAGGUGGCGACGGCAAAGGAGUGCAGGCAGAGCCCCCGAGCCAUGGCCAGCCCUUCCGGCAGCUCCGAAGCCACUGGCAAGCCCCGAGGCAGGGAUGGCCGGCCCAGGAGGGAGGAGGACGACGUCCCUCCGGAAGAGAAGAGGCUGCGGCUGUAGCUGGAGAGGGGAAGCGCACAGCCCGAGGACUGCGAGAACGGGGAGGACGCGCCGCGGCCAGGCAGGGAGGAGACCGGCACCCAGACAGGUGGCGACCGCAGAGGAGUCUGUUCUUCCCCUGGAUUGUAAACUCCUUGAUGUCUGGGUCAUCUCAGCUCAUGAGCUGAGCUUUCAGUGGGUGCUCAGUGGAACAGGUGCUGAAUGGAGUCCGGCUCUAGGGAGGCCAGCGUGUGUUG